UCAACCCAAUCAACCUCUUUACUCUCUUCGAAAUCAUUGGGUUGUUUGCACACAUUAAAAAUAUUCAUUUCUAAGGUCAUGUUACCAAAAGAAAGCUUCAUGACGCCAUUCCUACAAUUAAUUAAUGCAUUAGAAGUCGCAAGGAAUGGACGUCCUAAAAUGACCGGAAUCUGAGAUUGUGAGUUCGAAGCCGGAUGUGUGUCCAAUACAAUAAAAUCGAUAGGAAAGUAGAACUUGUCUACUUGGACUAAUACAUCCUCGAUAAUCCCCCUUGGAAUUUUAACUGAUCUGUCAGCUAAUUGCAAAGUGACGGAGGUUGGCUUCAACUCACCUAAACCAAGUUGCUCAUAGACAGAAUAUGGCA
rnacentral:lncRNA from 1 species